GAUGAACGCUGGCGGCGUGCCUAAUACAUGCAAGUCGAGCGAACAGACGAUGAGCUUGCUCCUCUGACGUUAGCGUCUGACGUGUGAGUAACACGUGGAUAACCUACCUAUAUGACUGGGAUAACUUCGGGAAACCGGAGCUAAUACCGUAUAAUAUAUUGAUCCUCAUUGUUCAAUAGUGAAAGACGGUUUUGCUGUCACUUAUAGAUGCAUGGGCGCCGAAUUAUCUAGUUGGUAAGGUAACGGCUUACCAAGGCGACGAUGAGUAGCGGACCGGAGAGGGUGAUCGCCAACCCUGGACCUGGGAACCGGUCAAGACUCCUACGGGAGGAAGCAGAAGGGAAUCUUGGGAAAUGGGGGAAAGCCGGCCGGAGCAAGGCCGCGGGAGUGAUGAAGGUCUUCGGACCGUAAACCUCUUUUAUUAGGGAAGAACAAAUGUGUAAGUAAAUAUGCACGUCUUGACGGUACCUAAUCAGAAAGCCACGGCUAACUACGUG
rnacentral:rRNA from 1 species